ensembl:snRNA U6 U6 spliceosomal RNA
GUAAAACAUUGAGGAGCACUCACACUAAAAUUAAAACAACCAAGAGCAAAUUAGCCUGAUCCUAGUGCAAGGAUGACACUCAAAUAUGUGAAGUGUUCCAUAUUUUU